UACGUAGGGUGCGAGCGUUAAUCGGAAUUACUGGGCGUAAAGCGUGCGCAGGCGGUUCGUUGUGUCUGCUGUGAAAGCCCCGGGCUCAACCUGGGAAUGGCAGUGGAAACUGGCGAGCUGGAGUGUGGCAGAGGGGGGUAGAAUUCCACGUGUAGCAGUGAAAUGCGUAGAGAUGUGGAGGAAUACCGAUGGCGAAGGCAGCCCCCUGGGACGUGACUGACGCUCAUGCACGAAAGCGUGGGGAGCAAACAGG
rnacentral:rRNA from 1 species